UACGUAGGGGGCAAGCGUUGUCCGGAAUCAUUGGGCGUAAAGAGCGUGUAGGCGGCUAGGUAGGUCCGUUGUGAAAACUCGAGCUCAACCUCGAGACGCCGGUGGAAACCAUCUAGCUAGAGUCCGGAAGAGGAGAGUGGAAUUCCUGGUGUGAGCGGUGAAAUGCGCAGAUAUCAGGAAGAACACCCCGUGGCGAAGGCGGCUCUCUGGGCCGAUACUGACGCUGAGGAGCGAAAGCGUGGGGAGCGAACAGG
rnacentral:rRNA from 1 species